CACACCUGGUAUCAGUGAUCUGCAAUAAAUGGUGUAUAUGAGAAACCUUCGUUAAGUCCCAAGGGUGACAGGGUUUUGAGCUUAUAGAUCCAGAAGCUCUCCCUUUGGAGUAGCUUCUUGUCUAAAUCCCCCCCUCUUGGUCCCAAGGUAACCCUUUCAAUACCACUAAAUCUGAUUCCUUCAGAUGAGCCCCCAUGAUGUAGU